rnacentral:rRNA from 1 species
CCUACGGGAGGCUGCAGUGGGGAAUAUUGGACAAUGGGCGAAAGCCUGAUCCAGCCAUGCCGCGUGUGUGAAGAAGGCCUUCGGGUUGUAAAGCACUUUCAGUGGGGAAGAAAGCCUUGGGGCUAAUACCCUCGAGGAAGGACAUCACCCACAGAAGAAGCACCGGCUAACUCCGUGCCAGCAGCCGCGGUAAUACGGAGGGUGCGAGCGUUAAUCGGAAUUACUGGGCGUAAAGCGCGCGUAGGCGGUCUGAUAAGCCGGUUGUGAAAGCCCCGGGCUCAACCUGGGAACGGCAUCCGGAACUGUCAGGCUAGAGUGCAGGAGAGGAAGGUAGAAUUCCCGGUGUAGCGGUGAAGUGCGUAGAGAUCGGGAGGAAUACCAGUGGCGAAGGCGGCCUUCUGGACUGACACUGACGCUGAGGUGCGAAAGCGUGGGUAGCAAACAGGAUUAGAUACCCGAGUAGUC